rnacentral:rRNA from 1 species
UACGUAGGUGACCAGCGUUGUCCGGAUUUACUGGGCGUAAAGAGCGCGCAGGCGGCUGAGCAAGUCGAGUGUGAAAGCCCCGGGCUUAACUUGGGAAUUGCGCUCGAAACUACUUGGCUGGAGUGUGGCAGAGGAGGGUGGAAUUCCACGUGUAGCGGUGAAAUGCGUAGAGAUGUGGAGGAACACCAAUGGCGAAGGCAGCACUCUGGGCCAACACUGACGCUCAUGCACGAAAGCGUGGGGAGCAAACAGG